GUCUAAUGAAUGUAACCAAUAGAAAAAUUGUAGGUUUGUUUCUCUCCCUGGCCCUCAAAGUUAUGAUAAAUGAUAGCACAAGGAAAAGAUAACCUACCAUGAGAGUAGGAUCACCAAGGCCAAAUACUAAAACUCCCAGCUGACUGGCCCAUACACUGCAGCCUCUGUUCGUGUUUAUUUUUUCUGCUCACUCUUGGUUUCGUCAAUCAGUAUGAUAGACGAUAAGUCCUGACUAGAGCAGCCCGCGUCCUGCUCUCUCACGGUGGGUAGCAUGUUGUGGUUGGCGCCGAGCAGUCGGAGGAUCGCCCGCAUCAGGAGCACCAAGGGGAUGAGGUUCGGAGCAGUCUUCCAGCAGCCGGCUCCUUGGAGAAUAGCAGGCAGGAGCGUUAUCAGCGGAGAGUGGAGUUGCUGUGCUGAGAUGCA
rnacentral:lncRNA from 1 species